UACAGAGGGGGCAAGCGUUGUUCGGAAUUACUGGGCGUAAAGGGCGCGUAGGCGGCCUGCUAAGUCGAACGUGAAAUCCCUGGGCUCAACCCAGGAACUGCGUCCGAUACUGGUUGGCUUGAAUCCGGGAGAGGGAUGCGGAAUUCCUGGUGUAGCGGUGAAAUGCGCAGAUAUCAGGAGGAACACCAAUGGCGAAGGCAGCUCGCUGGGACGGUACUGACGCUGAGGCGCGAAAGCGUGGGGAGCAAACAGG
rnacentral:rRNA from 1 species